rnacentral:rRNA from 1 species
GAUGAACGCUGGCGGCGUGCCUAAUACAUGCAAGUCGAGCGAACAGACGAGGAGCUUGCUCCUCUGACGUUAGCGGCGGACGGGUGAGUAACACGUGGAUAACCUACCUAUAAGACUGGGAUAACUUCGGGAAACCGGAGCUAAUACCGGAUAAUAUAUUGAACCGCAUGGUUCAAUAGUGAAAGACGGUUUUGCUGUCACUUAUAGGUGGAUCCGCGCCGCAUUAGCUAGUUGGUAAGGUAACGGCUUACCAAGGCAACGAUGCGUAGCCGACCUGAGAGGGUGAUCGGCCACACUGGAACUGAGACGCGGUCCAGACUCCUACGGGAGGCAGCAGUAGGGAAUCUUCCGCAAUGGGCGAAAGCUUGACGGAGCAACGCCGCGUGAGUGAUGAAGGUCUUCGGAUCGUAAAACUCUGUUAUUAGGGAAGAACAAAUGUGUAAGUAACUAUGCACGUCUUGACGGUACCUAAUCAGAAAGCCACGGCUAACUACGUG